AAGGUGCCGUUACGGCUAACAUAAAAUAAGCAUUAGACUAUUCACGUGAUUCACAUCUGUUGUCAUCUAAUCCCGUCACGUAAACAUAGUCAAAAUGUCGCACACUUUGGCCUUGAACAUUAUUAUCUCCAACACAUUUUGUGCUGUUUUGCCUACCUUAAUCGAUUCGUGGUACAGAGGAAAUGUCUCGUUAGACAUUGGCAGUGACGUAGUCAGGAUUCCCGUGAGCAUUUGCUUAGAAAAUGUGUAAACAUCCAAGAACUUUAUCCCGUAUCACAUUCAACAAAUAAAGAAACCCACAUACCCAGAGACGCGGUAAUGGCUUGUGUAUUGAAAACUGAUGAAAAAGAAACACUCCCACUUUGACAAUGAGAAAAGUUGAUUACGCAAGGCAUACAGAGAUAAUUCACUUUUUUUCGUGGACGACUUCUCGGCUAGUUUGUGGCAAUGUCUGCUUCACCAGAUUGUUGUAAGUCUUGAAAGGCUCCUAAAAAGAAAACAGUUUCGUGUUGGGUGCAAGAAGUCUUUAAUCAAUUCAGCGGAGAAACAUGGCGGGAAAAUAGUUAAUUGUCAUUUUGUUUGUUAAUUUCAGUCGAUUAUCCGACAUUCUUUUCGAUCUUUUUGAUCAUUUGCAUGUUUUUGUCGACUUUUUACGUUCCAAUUUGUUUUGUUGAUCAUUUGCAUGUUUUCCUUGCCUUUUUGCGUACCAUUCCUCUUUUUUGGAACUCCCCUGAAUAUUGUUGUCCUUGAACCUUUUUUUUGUUGCUUUGACACGUGCCACAAUUCAAUUACUGAUGAAUAUUAUGCAAAAAGUUUGUACUCUUCCCCCCUUUGUUUCCCCACGACCUUCACAGCUUACGAGUUUCUUACCCUGCCUACCUUACAAACCUUAAAACUAAGCUUGAUAAAUUUCAUCAUUCCUUUGUUUUUUUUUCUAAAGUAGUCCCUGUGGACGUGCAGCAAAUUAUGUAAAUUUUUUCACUUGAAUGCAUUAAAACAAUAUUUCGAAAAGAUGGGAAAUAUGCAAAUUUCCACUUUACUGUCCGUUGCCUAAGCAAUGGCAAAUGAUUUGUUUUUCACGAUCUUUGCGCCUACCAAGGUUUCAUGUUACGUGAAGGACAACGUGACACACGGCCCGUUGCUCAUAGCAAUCAGCAAUCGAUUUUCUUCAAGAACCUCUAGGCCCAGGACGAAACGUAAACUGUGGAGAAAGGACGAAGUCAAUUAUACCAAGCUAUUUUUU